UACGUAGGUGGCGAGCGUGGUCCGGAUUUACUGGGCGUAAAGGGAGCGUAGGCGGACUUUUAAGUGAGAUGUGAAAUACCCGGGCUCAACUUUGGUGCUGCAUUUCAAACUGGAAGUCUAGAGUGCAGGAGAGGAGAAUGGAAUUCCUAGUGUAGCGGUGAAAUGCGUAGAGAUUAGGAAGAACACCAGUGGCGAAGGCGAUUCUCUGGACUGUAACUGACGCUGAGGCUCGAAAGCGUGGGGAGCAAACAGGUUUAGAUACCCUGGUA
rnacentral:rRNA from 1 species